AACGAACGCUGGCGGCGCGUCUUAAGCAUGCAAGUCGAACGGCAAGAGAGGAGCUUGCUUCUCUCCUAGAGUGGCGGACUGGUGAGGAACACGUGGGUAAUCUACCCUUAAGAUGGGGAUAGCUGCUAGAAAUAGCAGGUAAUACCGAAUACACUCGGCAUAUCACAAGAGGUGUUGAGGAAAGGAAGCUACGGCUUCGCUUGAGGAUGAGCUUGCGUCCCAUUAGCUAGUUGGUGAGGUAAAGGCCCACCAAGGCGACGAUGGGUAUCCGGCCUGAGAGGGUGAACGGUCACAUUGGGACUGAGAUACGGCCCAAACUCCUACGGGAGGCAGCAGCUAAGAAUAUUCCGCAAUGGACGGAAGUCUGACGGAGCGACGCCGCGUGGAUGAAGAAGGCUGAAAAGUUGUAAAAUCCUUUUGUUGAUGAAGAAUAAGGGUGAGAGGGAAUGCUCAUCUGAUGACGGUAAUCGACGAAUAAGCCCCGGCUAAUUACGUG
rnacentral:rRNA from 1 species